rnacentral:tRNA from 1 species
GCGGGAGUGGCGGAAUUGGCAGACGCGCUAGACUUAGGAUCUAGUAUCUACCGAUGUGGGGGUUCAAGUCCCUUCUCCCGCACCA